CGAAGUUCUAUUUGUUAGAUCUUGUCAUUGGGGCUUCAAGAGUUUUUGCCUCUUUAUCUACCUGAUGAAGUAGGGUCUACAUUUGACACAAGGGGCACUUGGAUCAUCGAGAGUCUGAAGUUAUUGUUUUUUGUUGGCUCCUUUCAGGGUCUGCUGUAAUCUGAGACGCAAAUUGCGUAUUUGCAGUGGCUAAAUGUUGCAGUUCAACAUCUUAUCACAUUGUCUUGCAUUGCAUAUCGAUUGCACGGCAUAAAUUUCCCUCAUCAUUUCACUUUACCCCUGCUGGGUCUGGAUCCCCUCGGCGAGUGAUCAUAUCUCAUUGCAUAUACUUGUCCUAAAUGACCCUUUUUAGUGCUCACUUUACUUCUCUCUCUCAAAACUUAUUGAGCUCCUUUUCGGUACACCCCCUCACUAAACACGUAUAAUAAGGGCAGUAUGGCCUUUCCACAAGAACGUAUACCCACUUCUCUUUAUUUUUUUUUUGAGAAGGAAAAACGUAUACCCACUUCUGUAUGGUCUUCCGGGACGAGCGGUAUGUACAUGUAGAAGUUUGCCCACCUGAUCCGCCGGCACCACCUUGUCUAUGAAGAUGUUUCUAUUCGUUCACAGAAAAAGUGUCCCGAUGGCUGGCCCCAUAGGGCGGCCGUGCCAGAACACAAGGGGUAAGAGCAACUCCCAUGGGGUGGGGUGACCCAUUUCGUCCGCUUGGCGUCCGUUUGGGUCGGCGCGGACACAAAAGUCGGCCCAACGCGCCGACCCAAACGGACGCGCGUCCGCCUGCCGACCCGUCCCCAGUCCAUUUUUGAGCGGAUUUGCGUCGGCGCGGACACGAGAGGGACGCGCGCGCUCGUCUACUCCUCUCCCCAGACCCGUCGGUCGGUGGCAGCCACUACCAUUUCUCCUCAUUUUCCUCCAAAAACCCUCCCGCCCGCGCUCUCCCGCCCCACACCCCGCCAUGAAGGACACCAUCGACCUCGACGCCGCCGCCGGCCUCGCCUCCCUCGCCUCGUCCGGUGCCCCCGCCCCCGUCGGGAAAGGCAAGCCUCGUGCCCCUUGCAAGACCGCUGCCGCGGCCAAGCCAAAGAAGCCGCUGACGCCCGCACAACGGGCAAGGGAGUCGACCAAGAGGAAGGACCGGAGGCACGCCGCAGACGCGAGGGAUGAGGCUGCCGCGCAGGCCGCCGUUGCCGCCGCCGCGCAGCAGGAGGUCACCAACGCCCACGUCACGGCGGCAACGAGGGAGGCGCUCUACAUGCUAGGGUUAAACCCUGGCUAGCACGGCCUCCUCAACGCCACCGUCGCCGCGACCAGCACCGGCUCAUCGGUGUUUCCUCGGAUGAUGCUGCCCGACUCGCCCCGCGCAUCGGCUUGCAACCCGGUGCCCGGCUUCCACGUAUACCCGCAGGCCUCCCGCCUCUCCGGGGAGUGCUCGCCCGAUGUGAGCAUGGUCGCCCCUUCCACGCCCGCGCCCGCGCCCAUCGACCUCAACGCCACCCCGGUGGCCGGUGGCUCGUCAUCCGGUGGCGCGAGGUGAUACGUCUCCAACGUAUCUAUAAUUUUUAUUGUUUCAUGCUAUUAUAUUAACUGUUUUGGAUACUUAAUGGGCUUUAAUAUGCUCUUUUAUAUUAUUUUUGAGACUAACCUAUUAACCGGAGGCCCAGUGCUAGUUUCUGUUCUUUUUGCCUAUUUUAGAGUUAUGCAGAAAAGGAAUACCAAACGGAAUAAAACCUUCGUGAGGAUCUUUCUUUGACCGAAAGCAAUCAAGAAGACUUGGAGUCGAAGUUUGGAACUCCACGAGGAAGCCACGAGGCAGGAGGGCACGCCCAGGAGGGGUAGGCGUGCCCCCAUCCCCGUGGGCCCCUCGUAGCUCCACCGACGUACUUCUUUCGCCUAUAUAUACCCUUCUACCCUAGAACAUCAGGGAGUGCCACGAAACCACUUUUCCACCGCCGCAACCUUCUAUAGCCAUGAGAUACCAUCUGGGGGCCUUUUUUGGCGAUCUGCCGGAGGGGGAAUCGAUCACGGAGGGCUUCUACAUCAACACCAUUGCCUCUCCGAUGAAGCGUGAGUAGUUUACCACAGACCUUCGGGUCCAUAGUUAUUAGUUAGAUGGCUUCUUCUCUCUCUUUGGUUCUCAAUACAAAGUUCUCCUCGAUGUUCUUGGAGAUCUAUUCGAUGUAAUACUCUUUUGCGGUGUGUUUGCCAAGAUCCGAUGAAUUGUGGAUUUAUGAACAAGAUUAUCUAUGAAUAUUAUUUGGUUCUUCUCUGAAUUCUUAUAUGCAUGAUUUGAUAUCUUUGCAAAGUCUCUUCGAAUUAUCGGUUUAGUUUGGCCUACUAGAUUGAUCCUUCUUGCAUUGGGAGAAGUGCUUAGCUUUGGGUUCAAUCUUACGGUGUCCUUUCCCAGUGACAAUAGGAGUAGCAAGGCACGUAUUGUAUUGUUGCCAUCAAGGAUAAAAAGAUGGGGUUUAUAUCAUAUUGCUUGAGUUUAUCCCUCUACAUCAUAUCAUCUUGCUUAAUGCGUCACUCCGUUCUUAUGAACUUAAUACUCUAGAUGCAUGCUGGAUAGCGGUCGAUGUGUGGAGUAAUAGUAGUAGAUGCAGAAUCGUUUCGAUCUACUUGACAUAGACGUGAUGCCUAUAUUCAUGAUCAUUGCCUUAGAUAUCUUCAUAACCAUGCGCUUUUAUAUCAAUUGCUUGGCAGUAAUUUAUUCACCCACCGUAAUACAUGCUAUCUUGAGAGAAGCCACUAGUGAAACCUAUGACCCCCGAGUCUCUUUCCUAUUAUAUUACAUCUCUUUUGUUUACAUCGCAUCUCGCUUAGUAUUUUGCAAUCUUUACUUUCCAAUCUAUACAACAAAAAUACCAAAAAUAUUUACUUUACUAUCUCUAUUAGAUCUCACUUUUGCGAGUGACCAUGAACGGAUUGACAACCCCUUUAUCGCGUUGGUUGCAAGGUUCUUGAUUGUUUGUGCAGGUACUAGGUGACUUGUGCGUUGUCUCCUACUGGAUUGAUACCUUGGUUCUCAAAACUGAGGGAAAUAAUUACGCUACUUUGCUGCAUCACCCUUUCCUCUUCAAGGGGAAACCAACGCAUGCUAAAGAGGUAGCAAGAAGGAUUUCUGGCACCGUUGCCGGUGAGAUCUACGCCAAGUCAAGACAUACCAAGUACCCAUCAUAAACUCUUCUCCCUCGCAUUACAUUAUUUGCCAUUCACCUCUCGUUUUCCUCUCCCCCACUUCUAAAACGAUUUUCGAAAACCUUUGCCUUUUCCUCGCCCCUCUUCCGUUCGCCUCUUUUCGCUUGCUUCUUGUGCGUCCGUGUGUUAGAUCGUUUGUUUCGCCUUCAUGGCUAGUCCUCCUAUCAUUGUUAAUACUCCCGAUAAUGAAGUUCAUAAUUUAUAACAAAGGGAAGGAGAAAAUCUAAAAGAUGCUUGGUAUAGAAUUUGCAAUGCUCAAAAUAGAUCUACUAGAAAGCAAUCCACUUCUGUUCUUCUUCGCGAUUUUUACGUAGGCAUCACUCCUUGGAAUAAAUAUGUUCUUGACACCAUUACCGGAGGGAAUUUCUUGGAAAGCCAUACUUUUGAUUCUUAUAAUGCUAUGAUAGAUUUGUUAGUCCCACCACCUCUUUUGGUCAAUGGAACUAUUUUAACUUUGGAACAUGUGAUGCAAAGGCUUGAUAUUAUUGAAAAUAAAAUUGCCACUGUAGAGUUAAUCAAAAAUUUGGAUAAAAACAUCCACAACCAAACCAAUAUGGAUCUAAGGUAGGAGUUACUCUGAAAAUCUUAUGGAGAAGAAACCCAUAGUUAAUGAGAAGAUAGAUCAAGAUUCCACUAGAAUUGAGAAACUCGAAGAUAUUAUUACCAACUUGGGGUCCGCUUUUUCUGCCGUUAAAAAUACCUCAAAUCCUCCUCCUACCAAAGUUGCCAAGUUUAUCUACGUUCCUAAAAACAUGGGUGAAUCUUCUAGUAAGGAAAAUGAAGACCUCAAAUCAAUAAGUGUUCACCCCAACUUUUUUGAUAUCGUUAAGGAACCUUUUGCUACAAAUGAAUUUCUUGAUUUCUUGCCUACGAGUUUGAUCAUUAACAAAACCAAAGAACCUCCUAAGGGUUAUGUGUGUGUUCAAUUGAAGAAUUUCAUACCAAAGAUGGCAAUACCUAGAUCUAUUCUUGUUUUUAUGCCUAGCUAGGGGCGUUAAACGAUAGCGCUUGUUGGGAGGCAACCCAAUUUUAUUUUUGUUCUUUGCUUUUUGCUCCUGUUUAGUAAUAAAUAAUUCAUCUAGCUUCUGUUUAGAUGUGGUUUUUUGUUUUUAUUAGUGUUUGUGCCAAGUAGAACCUUUGGGAAGACUUGGGUGAAGUCUUUGCAAUCUUGCUGUAAAAAACAGAAACUUUUGUGCUCACGAGAUUAGCUGCCAUUUUUUUUACUGGAAAGUGCUUUUAGGUUGAUUCUUUUUGCAGAUGAUUAAUAGACAAAUUCCUCACGUCCACCAAUGUAUUUAAGAAUUUUUGGAGUUACAUAAGUACUCGAACAAAUCAGAUUGCUACAGACUGUUCUGUUUUUGACAGAUUCUGUUUUUCGUGUGUUGUUUGCUUAUUUAUAUGAAUCUGUGAGUAGUAUCGGGGGGUAUGAACCAUAGAGAAGUUGGAAUAUAGUAGGUUUAACACCAAUAUAAAUAAAGAAUGAGUUCAUUACAAUACGUUAAAGUGGUGGUUUAUUUUCUUAUACUAACAGAGCUCAUGAGAUUUUGUGUUGAACUUUUGUGUUGUGAAGUUUUCAAGUUUUUAGGUAAAGAUUUGAUGGAUUUUGGAAUAAGGAGUGGCAAGAGCCUAAGCUUGGGGAUGCUCAAGCCACCCAAAGGUAAAAUUCAAGGACAACCAAAAGCCUAAGCUUGUGGAUGCCCCGGAAGGCAUCCCCUCUUUCGUCUUCGUCUAUUGGUAACUUUACUUGAGGCUAUAUUUUUAUUCAUCGCACGAUAUGUGUUUUGCUUGGAGUGCCUUGUAUGAUUUGAGUCUUUGAUUUUUAGUUUACCACAACCAUCCUUGCUGUACACACCUUGUGGGAGAGACACGCAUGAAUCAAAAUCUAUUAGAAUACUCUAUGUGCUUCACUUAUAUCUUUUGAGCUAGAUAAUUUUGCUCUAGUGCUUCACUUAUAUCUUUUUAGAGCACGGUGGUGGUUUUAUUUUAUAGAAAUUAUUGGUCUCUCAUGCUUCACUUAUAUUAUUUUGAGAGUAUUUUAGAACAGCAUGGUAAUUUGGUCUAGCUAUAAAACUAGUCCUAAUAUGAUGGGCAUCCAAGAUGGGUAUAAUAAAAACUUUCAUAUAAAGUGCGUUGAAUACUAUGAGAAGUUUGAUGCUUGUUGAUUGUUUUGAGAUUUGAGGAUGGUGAUAUUAGAGUCAUGCUAGUAGAGUAAUUGUGAAUUUGAGAAAUACUUGUGUUGAGGUUUGCAAGUCCCGUAACAUGCACGUAUGGUAACCUUUGUGUAACAAAUUUGAAGCAUGAGGUGUUUCUUUGAUUGUCUUCCUUAUGUGUGGAGGUCAGGAUCGCGCGAUGGUUAACUCCUACCAACCCUUCCCCUAGGAGCAUGUGUGUAGUGCUUGGUUUUGAUGACUUGUAGAUUUUUGCAACAAGUAUAUGAGUUCUUUAUGAAUAAUGCUGAGUCCAUGGAUUAUACGCACUCUCACCCUUUCACCGUUGCUACCCUCUCUAGUACCGCGCAACUUUUGAUGGUACCAUAAACCCACCAUUUACCUUCCUCAAAACAGCCACCAUACCUACCUAUUAUGGUAUUUUGAUACGUCUCCGUCGUAUCAACUUUUCCAAACACUUUUGCCCUUGUUUUGGACUCUAACUUGUAUGAUUUGAAUGGAACUAACCCGGACUGACGCUGUUUUCAGCAGAAUUGCCAUGGUGUUGUUUUAUGUGCAGAAAAUAAAAGUUCUCGGAAUGACCCGAAACUUCACGGAACACCUUAGAAAAAACAAUAAAAAAUCCUCACAAAAGAUGAAGACCAGGGGGCCCACACCCUACUCACGAGGGUGGGGGCGCCCCCUGGGCGCCCCCUACCUCGUGGGCCCCCCGGUGGCCCUCCGACGCCAACUCCAACUCCAUAUAUUGGCUUUCGGGGAGAAAAAAAAUCAGAGAGAAGAAAUAAUCGCGUUUUACGAUACGGAGCCGCCGCCAAGCCCUAAUCUCUCUCGGGAGGGCUGAUCUGGAGUCCAUUCGGGGCUCCGGAGAGGGGGAUUCGUCGCCGUCGUCAUCAUCAACCAUCCUCCAUCACCAAUUUCAUGAUGCUCACCGCUGUGCGUGAGUAAUUGCAUCGUAGGCUUGCUGGAUGGUGAUGGGUUGGAUGAGAUUUAUCAUGUAAUCGAGUUAGUUUUGUUAGGGUUUGAUCCCUAGUAUCCACUAUGUUCUGAGAUUGAUGUUGCUAUGACUUUGCUAUGCUUAGUGCUUGUCACUAGGGCCCGAGUGCCAUGAUUUCAGAUCUGAACCUAUUAUGUUUUCAUGAAUAUAUGUGUGUUCUUGAUCCUAUCUUGCAAGUCUAUAGUCACCUACUAUGUGUUAUGAUCCGGCAACCCUGAAGUGACAAUAAUCGGGACCACUCCCGGUGAUGACCAUAGUUUGAGGAGUUCAUGUAUUCACUAUGUGCUAAUGCUUUGUUCCGGUUCUCUAUUAAAAGGAGGCCUUAAUAUCCCUUAGUUUCCAAUAAGACCCCGCUGCCACGGGAGGGUAGGACAAAAGAUGUCAUGCAAGUUCUUUUCCAUAAGCACAUAUGACUAUAUACAGAAUACAUGUCUACAUUACAUUGAUGAACUGGAGCUAGUUCUGUGUCACCCUAUGUUAUGAUUGUUACAUGACGAACCGCAUCCCGCAUAAUUAUCCAUCACUAAUCGGUGCCUAUGAGUUUUCCAUAUACUGGUUCUCGCUUAUUUACUUUUCCGUUGCUACUGUUACAAUCACUACAAAAUACCAAAAACAUUACCUUUGCUGUCUUUACUUUUGUUACCAUUACCACCACUAUCAUAUUACUUUGCUACUAAACACUUUGUUCCAGAUACUAAGUUUCCAGGUGUGGUUGAAUUGACAACUCAGCUGCUAAUACUUGAGAAUAUUCUUUGGAUCCCCUUGUGUCGAAUCAACAAAUUUGGGUUGAAUACUCUACCCUCGAAAACAUUUGCGAUCCCCUAUACUUGUGGGUUAUCAAGACCUUUUUCUGGCGCCGUUGCCGGGGAGCAUAGCUCUAUUCUUUGAGUCACUUGGGAUUUAUAUCUGCUGGACACUAUGAAGAACUUGAAAGAUGAUCGAACUACUAUUUUUCCCUCAACUACGAGGGGAGGUAAGGAACUGCCAUCUAGCCUUGCACUAGAUUCUCCUUCUGUUAUGAGUAAGCUAGCGACACCUAAACCUGCUACUGCUAUGAAUUCUGAUAUGUCGCAUGUUAUUGAUGAUGCCACUUCUGCUAUGUAUGAUACUUAUGAUGGAACUACUUCUAUGCUUGAUACUACUGUGCCCCUUGGUGAAUUUCUUGAUGAGCAAAUUGCUAGGUCUAGAGAAAGAGAAAUUAUUGCACCUGAAUACGAUGAUAUUAGUGAUGAUGAAAAUAUGCCUGCUAUUCCUGAGGGUUAUCUUUUUGAUGCUGAAUCUUCUGUAGCUAUUCUUGCUUGCCAGGAUAGAUACGAACUUAAGAGGUUGCUUAUUAAAUGGAGUAAAGAAUCUUUUAGAGAUAGAAUGAGACCCGACCCUGCUUUUGCUACUUCACCUAUAUGUGUUCCUGAUAAGGAUUAUUAUGAUUUUUCUGUUGAUCCAGAUAUAAUUACUUUGGUUGAAUUUGAUCCUUUUUAUGGCUAUGAAUCUGAAACUGUUGUGGAACAUCUUACUAAGUUAAAUGAUAUAGCUGCCCUGUUUACUAAUAAUGAGAGAUCGCGCUACCUUUAUUUACUCAAAAUAUUUCCGUUCUCAUUAAAGGGUGACGCUAAGACAUGGUUUAAUUCUCUUGAUCCUGGUUGUGUGCAAAGUCCCCAGGAUAUGAUUUAUUACUUCUCUGCUAAAUAUUUCCCUGCUCAUAAGAAGCAAGCUGCCUUGAGGGAAAUAUACAACUUUGUGCAAAUUGAAGAAGAGAGUCUCCCACAAGCUUGGGGGAGGCUUCUCAAGUUACUUAAUGCUUUGCCCGAUCAUCCUCUUAAGAAACCUGAAAUAUUUGAUAUCUUUUAUAAUGGACUAACUGAUGCUUCCAGAGAUUACCUGGAUAGUUGUGCUGGUUCUCUUUUUAGGGAAAGAACACCGGAUGAAGCUGAAAUUCUAUUGAAUAAUAUGUUGGCAAAUGAAAAUAAUUGGGCACCUCCUGAGCCACCUCCUGAGCCAGUUCCAGAGCUAAUUACUGAGCCUAUCCCUAAACCAACUCCGAAGAAGAGAGGCGUUCUAUUUCUCAGUCCCGAAGAUAUGCAAGAGGCAAAGAAAUCUAUGAAAGAAAAUGGUAUUAAAGCUGAAGAUGUUAAGAAUUUACCUCCUAUUGAAGAAAUACAUGGUCUUAAUUUACCGCCUGUUGAAGAAGUAUACGAUCUCAAUUACUUAUUCACUGAAGAACCUCCUGAUCCCGAUAUCCCGACACAGGUAGUAAAGGUAAAUUCUCUCUAUAGAUAUGAUAAAGCUGAAGUCCCUCCUACUAAAAUUGCUAGUCAGUGCUUGGAUGAGUUUGAUGACUUUAUGUUUAAGCAAGAUGACUUUAAUGCUUAUUUUAGUAGACAAUUAAGACAGAAUACCUUUAUGAUUAAACGCUUGGGUGAUUAUAUGGCUGAUAUUAGAGGUGAACUUAAACUGGUUAGCAAACACGCUUCUAUGGUUACCACUCAAGUAGAACAAGUACUUAAAGCUCAGAAAGAAGUGCUUGAUGAAAUGAAUAGUAAGAAAAAUGAUUAUGCUGUUAGAGUGGCUACUAGAACUGGUAGAAUGACUCAGGAACCUGUGUAUCCUGAAGGCCACCCUAAGAGAAUCGAGCAAGAUUCUCAGAGAAAUAAUAUUAAUGUACCUAGUUCUUCUAAGAGGAAGAAAAAGAAAAAUGAUAGGACUUUGCAAACUUCUAGCAAACCUACUGCUGAACCACCUGAGAAUCCAAAUGAUAUCUCUAUUUCUGAUGCUGAAACACAAUCAGGUGAUGAACAUGAACCUAGUGAUAAUGUUAAUGAUAAUGUUCAUGUUGAUGCUCAACCUAGUAAUGAUAAUGAUGUAGAAGUUGAACCUGCUGUUGAUCUUGAUAACCCACAAUCAAGGAAUCAAUGUUAUGAUAAAAGAGACUUCGUUGCUAGGAAACAUGGUAAAGAAAGGGAACCAUGGGUUCAGAAACCCAUGCCUUUUCCUCUGAAACCAUCCAAGAAAAAGGAUGAUGAGGAUUUUGAGCGCUUUGCUGAAAUGAUUAGACCCAUCUUUUUGCGUAUGCGAUUAACUGAUGUGCUCAAAACAAAUCCUUAUGCCAAGUAUAUGAAGGAUAUCAUUACUAAUAAAAGAAAGAUACCUGAAGCUGAAAUUUCCACCAUGCUUUCUAAUUAUACUUUUAAGGGUGGAAUACCAAAGAAACUUGGAGAUCCAGGAGUACCUACUAUACCAUGCUCCAUUAAGAGAAAUUAUGUUAAAACUGCUUUAUGUGAUCUUGGAGCCGGUGUCAGUGUUAUGCCUCUCUCUUUAUAUCAUAGACUUGAUUUGAAUAAGUUGUAUCUUUGCAAAUGGCUGAUAAAUCAACUGCUAUACCUGUCGGUAUUUGUGAGGAUGUGCCUGUUGUGGUUGCAAAUGUUACCAUUUUAACGGACUUUGUUAUUCUUGAUAUUCCCGAGGAUGAUAGUAUGCCUAUUAUUCCUGGAAGACCUUUCCUUAAUACUGCAGGGGCUGUUAUUGAUUGCACCAAAGGCAAUGUCACUUUUCAUGUUAAUGGCAAUGAGCACAUGGUACAUUUUCCGAGGAAACAACCUCAAGUUUAUAGUAUCAACUCUAUUGGAAAAAUUCCAUCAAUUAUAUUUGGAGGUUUUGAAUUUCCUCUCCCUACUGUCAAGAAAAAGUAUGAUAUUCUUAUUGUUGGGGAUUUUCAUAUCCCCAUUGAGGUAACUUAGUGUUAUUCGAAAUUUCUCUGGUUUUGUGAUUAUUCGGAAUGAGUUUGUUAACAAGACUUGAUCAACCUUGUUAGUGGGUUCAUUUUGAUGAUCACGAGAUGGAUGAAACUAGAAGCACAACCUUCUGUACCCUCUUUAUAUUUUCUGUUAUUUAGUAGAAAUAAAGUAAAAUAGUAUUUUUCUGCCUGUUUCCUGACUUAUCCGUGCAAUAUAAAAAUACCCCGAAAAUAGAAGUCCUCAGAAUGCCAUGCCAAUUUAAUAUGAUUUUUUCGGGAAUAUUUGAGGAUUUACUGUGCAAAAAUUACCACGGGGGGAGCUGCCACCUGGCCACGAGGGUGGAGGGCGCGCCCUACCCCACUGGGCGCACCCCCUACCUCGUGGGCCCAUGGUGGCCCUCCUCCACUUAUCCCUGCACCCAUCUUCUUCCUCUGCCUCACACAAACACGAAAAACCAACUCAAGCACGAGUUCCAGCCCCCGUUACUGUGAUUUUCGAUCUCCUUGCUCAAAGCACCUCUCGCAAAACUGCUUGGGGAGAUUGUUCCUUGGUAUGUGACUCCUCCAUUGGUCCAAUUAGUUUUUGUUCUAGUGCUUUAUUCAUUGAAAAUUUGUGCUGCAUAGGUGACCAUGUUCUUGAGCUUGCAUGUCAAAUUUAUAUGGUUCCAAGUAGUUCCAAUGCUUUAUAUAGGCCCUAGGCACUUAUGGGAGUUGUUGCUAUCAAUUUUAUUGAAGUUGGUUCACUUUUAUUUGAAGUUACUAAAAAUUUCAGAUUGUUUCAGAAAUAAUGAAGAAAUUUUUGAGGGGCUCGUCGAGCCGAAGCUCUAACGAAAAACAAAAGGAAGAAGAGCAGAAGCCCAAAUUUAAUUUGCCCCGCACCGCGGAGGUCCGGCCAUGUGAAUGGCCUUUCGAUGACUUCUUGAGGAGAGCUGGGAUUUAUGAAGAUUUCUAUCUAUUGAUUGAGAAUGCUGGCCUCACCAACUUCCUCCACGACCAACAUCAUCAGUAUCUCUUACUCACAAAUACUUUUGUGCAAAACUUCUACUUUUUCCCUAAGAAAUCACCUCCGACAGUAGAGUUUCAUUUAUAUGACGUUGUUAAAGAGAUGACAUUAGCUGAAUUCUGCAAGGUUUGCAGAAUACCCUUUGAGGGCACCUUAGAUGAACCCCACCGUAAUGAAGUAGAAGCUUUUAUUAACACUAUCACUAUGGGAGAAACCAGGAAGGUUUCUGAUGCAAGGAUCACUAGCAUACACUUCCCCGUUUUACGCUACUUCGCUUUAUUUGCUAGUCGUUGCUUGAUUGGACGUGGGAACUUUGGGAACCUUAGUAUUCCCAAUAUUAUUAUUUUGUUCCAUGGUUUAUACCGCAAUAACUCUGUUAGUAUGGGUGGAAUUGUUGCUAGACGGUUAAGUCUGAACUGUACUAAGGGCCCCAUCUUUGGAGGCAUUUAUGCUUCACACCUAGCUGAACAUUUUGAAAUACCUAUUAGGCAUGAGGAGAAAGAAGAAACAGCGCUGCCUCGUGCUUAUUUAGAUUAUAAGAGUAUGAUAGCGCAUGACUUUCUUGUUAAGAGUCGCGAAGGGGAGCUCAAAUACAAAUUAUACUUUGAUAAACAUCACCCUGAGACUAUUACUUUGCCUGCUCCUUCUUUGUUUAACUUAUCUAUAGGUCCUCACAUCAUUCCGUGGUCAGCUGUUCCAGCCUAUCGGAAUCCUGCACCAGCCCCGGAACCGGAGCCACAAGAUGAGCCUCCACGACUAUCUGUUUAUUCUUGGGAUCCAGAGGAGGCUGCCAGCCAGUGGCAGUCAGAGUCUUCUUCAUCACAGUAUGACCCCAGCUUCACCUACGGGUAUCCGCCAGUCUAUCCCUGGCAAUAGACCAACUUAGGCCAAAAGCCUAAGCUUGGGGGAGUACGUAUUUCCCACCGACAUUACAUUCAUGUUCACACACACUCAUUGCUAGCUGUCGAUGCUCAUACUCUUUCACUGUAAUAUCCAUGCUAGUUUAUUUUAUUUUUCCUACUUUCUUCUUGUGUGUUUAAUAAACCUUAAUAAAAAACAAAAAAAUAGUAGUAGUUUACUUCUUUGCUUGUAGUAGAAAUUAAAAAAGAAAACCCAAUAAUAUUUCCCGUUCUUCUUUUACUUGUUGGGAGCUUUCCCGUGUAAAUAGUUUUUAUUUUCUUUUCUUUCUUUUGGGGGUCGAGAAGACCAUAUUGAAAAUGCUUAAUGGCUCUUAUAUGCAUGAUUGUUUAUUUAACUUAGAGCCCAUAUUACUUGUCUUUCUUUUGAGUUGAAUGCUUGCAGAUUCCAGCUUAGUCCAAUGCACAUGCACUCUUAUUAUUAUACACAUCCUUCGGUCAUGCAAGUGAAGGGCAAUAAUGAUGAUAUAUGAUGGACUUAUUGGGAUGAGAAAAGUUGGUAUGAACUCGACCUCUCUUGUUUUUGUAAAUAUGAUGAUUCAUCGUUCCUGAGUCAGCUAUUAUGAAGUAAACAUAUUUGCAAUGACAUUUAGAGAUUAUAGUUGCUUGUGCUAUGCUUGAUUAGCUAUGAGUUAUAAUGGUUUAUCUUGCGUGCCAACAUGCUAUUAGAAUGAUUAUGAUGUGGUAUGAUGGGAUGGUAUCCUCCUUUAAAUGAAUUGAGUGACUAGACUUGGCACAUGUUCACGCAUGUAGUAGAAUCAAAUCAACAUAGCCUUCAUGAUAUUUAUGUUCAUGGUAGAUUAUAUCCUACUCAUGCUUGUACUUGAUGUGAAUUAAUUUUAAUGCAUGUUUACGACUGUUGUCGCUCUCUCAGUUGGUCGCUUCCCAGUCUCUUGCUAGCCUUCACCUGUACUAAGAGGGAAUACUGCUUGUGCAUCCAAACUCCUUAAACCCCAAAGUUAUUCCAUAUGAGUCCACUAUACCUUCCUAUAUGCGGUAUUUACCUGCCGUUCCAAGUAAAUUUGUAUGUGCCAAACUCUAAACCUUCAAAUAAACAUUCUGUUUUGCAUGCUCGAAUAACUCAUAUGUCAACUAGAGCUGCCCUUAUCUUCCGUGUUAGGCGGGUUAUUCUCAAGAGGAGUGGACUCCGCUCCUCAUUCACGAGAAAAUGGCUGGUAUCUGGGAUGCCCAGUCCCAUGCUUUAUGCAAACUAAAUCAAAAUAACUGCAAACAAAACUCCCCCUGGGACCUGUUGAAUGUUGGAGGCACUCAUUGUUUCGAGCAAGCCAUGGAUUGAUGCUUGUGGAGGAGGGGGAGUAUAAACUUUACCAUUCUGUUUGGGAACCGCCUAUAAUCUAUUUAGCAUGGAAGAUAUCGUCGUCUUUUAGUUGUUAUGUUGACAAUGAAAGUAUGCCGCUCAAAAUAUAAUUUAUCUCUAUUUCAAAACCGAGCUCUGGCACCUCUACAAAUCCCUGCUUCCCUCUGCGAAGGGCCUAUCUAUUUACUUUUAUGUUGAGUCAUCACCCUUCUUAUUAAAAGCACCCGCUAGAGAGCACACUGUCGUUUGCAUUCAUUAUAAUUGGUUUAUAUUGGGUAUGAUUUGACUGGAUCUCUUUUACCAUGAAUUACAAUGUUUAGUCAGUCCUUGAUCUUUAAAGGUGCUCUGCAUUUAUGUUUUGCAGUCUCAGAAAGGGCUAGCGAGAUACCAUUUUGUUAUAUCAUGUUAUGAUUAUUUUGAGAAAGUGUUGUCAUCCGAGUUUUAUUAUUAUAGCUCGCUAGCUGAUUAUGUUAUUGAUAUGAGUAAUUGUGAGACCUACGUGUUAUUGUGAGUAUGGUUAGUUCAUAAUAUUUGCCGAAACUUGAAUGCUGGCUUUUCAUGUUUACAACAACAAGAGCAAACAGAGUUUGUAAAAGUUUUUCUUUUUCUCUUUCAGUUUGUCUACUGAAUUGCUUGAGGACAAGCAAGGGUUUAAGCUUGGGGGAGUUGAUACGUCUCUAUCGUAUAUACUUUCCAAACACUUUUGCCCUUGUUUUGGACUCUAACUUGUAUGAUUUGAAUGGAACUAACUCGGACUGACACUCUUUUCAGCAGAAUUGCCAUGGUGUUGUUUUAUGUGUAGAAAAUGAAAGUUCUCGGAAUGACCUGAAACUCCACGGAACACCUUAGAGAAAACAAUAAAAAAUCCUCGCAAAAGAUGAAGACCAGGGGGCCCACACCCUGCUCACGAGGGUGGGGGACGCCCCCUGGGCGCGCCCUCCUACCUCGUGGGCCCCCUGGUGGCCCUCUAACGCCAACUCCAACUCCAUAUAUUGGCUUUCAGGGAGAAAAAAAUCAGAGAGAAGAAAUAAUCUUGUUUUACGAUACGGAGCCGCCGCCAAGCUAAUCUCUCUCGGGAGGGUGAUCUGGAGUUCGUUCGGGGCUCCGGAGAGGGGGAUUCGUCGCCGUCAUCAUCAUCAACCAUCCUCCAUCACCAAUUUCAUGAUGCUCACGGCCGUGCGUGAGUAAUUGCAUCGUAGGCUUGCUGGACGGUGAUGGGUUGGAUGAGAUUUAUCAUUUAAUCGAGUUAGUUUUGUUAGGGUUGAUCCCUAGUAUCCACUAUGUUCUGAGAUUGAUGUUGCUAUGACUUUGCUAUGCUUAAUGCUUGUCACUAGGGCCCGAGUGCCAUGAUUUCAGAUCUGAACCUAUUAUGUUUUCAUGAAUAUAUGUGUGUUCUUGAUCCUAUCUUGCAAGUCUAUAAUCACCUACUAUGUGUUAUGAUCCGGCAACCCCGAAGUGACAAUAAUCGGGACCACUCCCGGUGAUGACCAUAGUUUGAGGAGUUCAUGUAUUCACUAUGUGCUAAUGCUUUGUUCCGGUUCUCUAUUAAAAGGAGGCCUUAAUAUCCCUUAGUUUCCAAUAGGACCCCGCUGCCACGGGAGGGUAGGACAAAAGAUGUCAUGCACGUUCUUUUCCAUAAGCACGUAUGACUAUAUACGGAAUACAUGCCUACAUUACAUUGAUGAACUGGAGCUAGUUCUGUGUCACCCUAUGUUAUGACUGUUACAUGACGAACCGCAUCCGGCAUAAUUAUCCAUCACUAAUCCGGUUCCUACGAGUUUUCCAUAUACUGGUUCUCGCUUAUUUACUUUUCCGUUGCUACUGUUACAAUCACUACAAAAUACCAAAAACAUUACCUUUGCUGUCUUUACUUUUGUUACCAUUACCACCACUAUCAUAUUACUUUUCUACUAAACACUUUGCUGCAGAUACUAAGUUUCCAGGUGUGGUUGAAUUGACAACUCAGCUGCUAAUACUUGAGAAUAUUCUUUGGCUCCCCUUGUGUCAAAUCAAUAAAUUUGGGUUGAAUACUCUACCCUCAAAAACUGUUGCAAUCCCCUAUACUUGUGGGUUAUCAUAUAUCCAUAGCCAUUCCGUGAUAUAUUGUCAUGCAACUUUCCACCGUUCCGUUUAUUAUGACAUGCUCCAUCAUUGUCAUAUUGCCUUGCAUGAUCAUGUAGUUGACAUCGUAUUUUUGGCAAAGCCACCAUUCAUAAUUUUUUCAUACAUGUCACUCUUGGUUUAUUGCACAUCCCGGUACACCACCAGAGGCAUUCAUAUAGAGUCAUAUUUUGUUCUAAGUAUCGAGUUGUAAUCCUUGAGGUGUAAAUAAAUAGAAGUAUGAUGAAUAUCAUUAUUAGAGCAUUGUCCCGUGUGGGGAAAUAAAAAAAGAUGCCAAAGAAGCCAAUGAAAAAAAGGCCAAAUAAGCCCAACAAAAAAGAGAGAAAAAGAGAGAAGGGACAAUCCUACUAUCGUUUUUCCACACUUGUGCUUCAAAGUAGCACCAUGAUCUUCAUGAUAGAGAGUCUCUUAUUUUGUCACUUUCAUAUACUAGUGGGAAUUUUCGUUAUAGAACUUGCCUUGUAUAUUCCAAUGAUGGGCUUCCUCAAAAUGCCCUAGGUCUUUGUGAGCAAGAAAGUUGGAUGCACCCCCACUUAGUUUCUUUUGUUGAGCUUUCAUACAUUUAUAGCUCUAGUGCAUCCGUUGCAUGGCAAUCCCUACUCACUCACAUUGAUACCUAUUGAUGGGCAUCUCCAUAGCCCAUUAAUAUGCCUAGUUGAUGUGAGACCAUUUUUCUCCUUUUUGUCUUCUCCACAACCACCAUUAUAUUCCACCUAUAGUGCUAUUUCCAUGGCUCACGAUCAUGUAUUGCGUGAAAGUUGAAAAAGUUUGAGAAUACUAAAGUAUGAAACAAUUGCUUGGCUGAACCCGAGGUUGUGCAUGAUUUGAAUAUUUUGCAUGACGAAGAUGGAGCAUAGCCAAACUGUAUGAUUUUGCAGGGAUGAACUUUCUUUGGCCAUGUUAUUUUGAGAAGACAUGAUUACUUUGUUAGUAUGCUUGAAGUAUUAUUAUUUUUAUGUCAAUAUUAAAAUUUUGUCUUGAAUCUUUCAGAUCUGAACAUUCAUGCCACAAUAAAGAAAAUUACAUUGAUAAUUAUAUUAGGUAGCAUUCCACAUCAAAAAUUCUAUUUUUAUCAUUUACCUACUCGAGGAUGAGCAUGAAUUAAGCUUGGGGAUGCUUGAUAUGUCUCCAACGUAUCUAUAAUUUUUGAUUGUUCCAUGCUAUUAUAUUAUCUAUUUUGGAGGUUUAAUGGGUUUUAAUAUGCUCUUUUAUAUUAUUUUGGGGACUAACCUAUUAAUCGGAGGCCCAGUGUCAGUGUCUAUUUUUUUGCGUAUUUUUAGAGUUUUGCAGAAAAGGAAUACCAAACGGAGUCCAGAUGGAAUCAAACCUUUGCGAGGAUCUUUCUUGGACCGAAAGCAACCCAGAAGACUUGGAGUCGAAGUCUAGAACUCCACGAGGAAGCUACGAGGCAGGAGGGAGCACCUAGGAGGGUAGGCGCACCCCCACCCUCGUGGGCCCCUCGUAGCUCCACCGACGUACUUCUUUCGCCUAUAUAUACUCUUAUACCCUAGAAACAUCAAGUAGUCCCACGAAACCACUUUUCCACCGCCGCAACCUUCUGUACCUGUAAGAUCCCAUCUUGGGGCCUUUUUUGGUGAUCUGCCGGAGGGGGAAUCGAUCAUGGAGGGAUUCUACAUCAACACCAUUGCCUCUCCGAUGAAGCGUGAGUAGUUUACCACAGACCUUCGGGUCCAUAGUUAUUAGCUAGAUGGCUUCUUCUAUCUCUUUGAUUCUCAAUACAAAGUUCUCCUUGAUGUUCUUGGAGAUCUAUUCGAUGUAAUACUCUUUUGCGGUGUGUUUGUCAAGGUCCGAUGAAUUGUGGAUUUAUGAAAAGGAUUAUCUAUGAAUAUUAUUUGGUUCUUCUCCCAAUUCUUAUAUGCAUGAUUUGAUAGCUUUGCAAGUCUCUUCGAAUUAUCGGUUUAGUUUGGCCUACUAGAUUGAUCUUUCUUGCAAUGGGAGAAGUGCUUAGCUUUGGGUUCAAUCCUGCGGUGUCCUUUCCCAGUGACAGUAGGGGCAACAAGGCACGUAUUAUAUUUGUUUCAAUCUAGGAUAAAAGAUGGGGUUUAUAUCAUAAUGCUUGAGUUUAUCCCUCUACAUCAUGUCAUCUUGCUUAAUGCAUUACUCCGUUCUUACGAACUUAAUACUCUAGAUGCAUGCUGGAUAGUGGUCGAUGUGUGGGGUAAUAGUAGUAGAUGCAGAACCGUUUCAUCUACUUGACACGGACAUGAUGCCUAUAUCCAUAAUCAUUGCCUUAGAUAUCUUCAUAACUAUGUGCUUCUAUCAAUUGCUCAACAUUAAUUUGUUCACCCACCGUAAUACAUGCUAUCUUGAGAGAAGCUACUAGUGAAACCUAUGGCCCCCCGAGUCUCUUUCCUAUUAUAUUACAUCUCUUUUAUUUACAUCGCAUCUCAUUUACUAUUUUGCAAUCUUUACUUUCCAAUCUAUACAACAAAAAUACCAAAAAUAUUUACUUUACUAUCUCUAUUAGAUCUCACUUCUGCGAGUGACCUGAACGGAUUGACAACCCCUUUAUCGCGUUGGUUGCAAGGUUCUUGAUUGUUUGUGCAGGUACUAGGUGACUUGUGCGUUGUCUCCUACUAGAUUGAUACCUUGGUUCUCAAAACUGAGGGAAAUACUUACACUACUUUGCUGCGUCACCCUUUCCUCUUCAAGGGAAAACCAAUGUUGGGGAACGUAGUAAUUUCAAAAAAAUUCCUAUGCACACGCAAGAUCAUGGUGAUGCAUAUCAAUGAUAGGGGAGAGUGUCGUCCAUGUACCCUCGUAGACCGUAAGCGGAAGCGUUAUGAAAACGCGAUUGAUGUAGUCGUACGUCUUCAUGAUCGACCGAUCCUAGUACCAAACGUACGGCACCUCCACAAUCUGCACACGUUUAGCUCGGUGACAUCCCACGAACUCACGAUCCAGUAGAGCUUCGAGGGAGAGUUCCGUCAGCACGACGGUGUGAUGACGGUGUUGAUGAAGCUACCGAUGCAGGGCUUCGCCUAAGCACCGCUACGAUGUGAUCGAGGUGGAUUAUGGUGGAGGGGGGCACCGCACACGGCUAAAAGAUCAACUGAUCAAUUUGUGUGUCCAUGGGGUGCCCCCUCCCCCGUAUAUAAAUGGGUGGAGGGGGGAGGGCCGGCCCUCCUAUGGCGCGCCCUGGAGGAGUCCUACUCCCACCGAGAGUAGGAUUCCCCCCUUCCCUAGUUGGACUAGGAGAGAAGGAAGGGGGAGAGAGGGAGGAAGGAAAGGGGGGCGCCGCCCCCCUUCUAGUCCAAUUUACCAAAGGGAGAGGGGGCGCGCGACCUGCCCUAGGCUCCUCUCUCUCUCUCCACUAUGGUCCAAUAAGGCCCAUAUACUUACCGGGGGGUUCCGGUGACCUCCUGGUACUCCGGUAAAAUUCCGAUUUCACCCGGAACCAUUCCGAUGUCCAAAUAUAGGCUUCCAAUAUAUCGAUCUUUAUUUCUCGACCAUUUCGAGACUCCUCGUAAUGUCCGUGAUCAUAUCCGGGACUCUGAACUACCUUCGGUACAUCAAAACACAUAAACUCAUAAUACUGAUCGUCACCGAACGUUAAGCGUGCGGACCCUACGGGUUCGAGAAUCAUGUAGACAUGACCGAGACACGUCUCCGGUCAAUAACUAAUAGCAGAACCUGGAUGCUCAUAUUGGCUCCUACAUAUUCUACGAAGAUCUUUAUCGGUCAAACCGCAUAACAACAUACAUUGUUCCCUUUGUCAUCAGUAUGUUACUUGCCCGAGAUUCGAUCGUCGGUAUCUCAAUACCUAGUUCAAUCUCGUUACCGACAAGUCUCUUUACUCGUUCCGUAAUACAUCAUCCUAUAACUAUCUCAUUAGUUAUAUUGCUUGCAAGACUUAUAGUGAUGUGCAUUACCGAGAGGGCCCAGAGAUACCUCUUCGACAAUUGGAGUGACAAAUCCUAAUCUCGAUCUAUGCCAACUCAACAAGUACCAUCGGAGACACCUGUAGAGCACCUUCAUAAUCACCCAGUUACGUUGUGACGUUUGGUAGCACACAAAGUGUUCGUCCGGUAUUCGGGAGUUGCAUAAUCUCAUAGUCAUAUGAACAUGUAUAAGUCAUGAAGAAAGCAAUAGCAAUAUACUAAACUAUCAAAUGCUAAGCUAACGGAAUGGGUCAAGUCAAUCACAUCAUUCUCUAAUGAUGUGAUCCCAUUAAUCAAAUGACAACUCAUGUCUAUGGCUAGGAAACUUAACCAUUUUUGAUUCAACGAGCUAGUCAAGUAGAGGCAUAAUAGUGACACUUACUUUGUCUAUGUAUUCACACAUGUACUAAGUUUUUGGUUAAUACAAUUCUAGCAUGAAUAAUAAACAUUUAUCAUGAUAUAAGGAAAUAUAAGUAACAAAUUUAUUAUUGCCUCUAGGGCAUAUUUCCUUCAGUCCCCCACUUGCACUAGAGUCAAUAAUCUAGAUUACACAGUAAUGAUUCUAACACCCAUGGAGUCUUGGUGCUGAUCAUGUUUUGCUCGUGAGAGAGGCUUAGUCAACUGGUUUGCAACAUUCAGAUCCGUAUGUAUCUUGCAAAUCUCUAAGUCUCCCUCCUUGACUUGGUCGCGGAUGGAAUUGAAGCGUCUCUUGAUGUGCUUGGUUCUCUUGUGAAAUCUGGAUUCCUUUGCCAAGGCAAUUGCACAAGUAUUGUCACAAAAGAUUUUCAUUGGACCCGAUGCACUAGGUAUGACACCUAGAUCGAAUAUGAACUCCUUCAUCCAGACUCCUUCAUUUGCUGCUUCCGAAGUAGCUAUGUACUCCGCUUUACAUGUAGAUCCCGCCACGACGCUUUGCUUAGAACUGCACCAACUGACAGCUCCACCGCUCAAUAUAAAUACGUAUCCGGUUUGUGACUUAGAGUCAUCCGGAUCAGUGUCAAAGCUUGCAUCGACGUAACCAUUUACGACGAGCUCUUUGUCACCUCCAUAAAUGAGAAACAUAUCCUUAGUCCUUUUCAGGUAUCUCAGGAUGUUCUUGACCGCUAUCCAGUGAUCCACUCCUGGAUUACUUUGGUACCUCCCUGCUAAACUAACAGCAAGGCACACAUCAGGUCUGUUACACAACAUUGCAUACAUGAUAGAGCCUAUGGCUGAAGCAUAGGGAACACCUUUCAUUUUCUCUCUAUCUUCUGCAGUGGUUGGGCAUUGAGUCUGACUCAACUUCACACCUUGUAACACAGCAAGAACCCUUUCUUUGCUUGAUCCAUUUUGAACUUCUUCAAAACUUUAUCAAGGUAUGUGCUUUGUGAAAGUCCAGUUAAGCAUCUUGAUCUAUCUCUAUAGAUCUUGAUGCCCGAUAUAUAAGCAGCCUCACCGAGGUCUUUCAUUGAAAAACUCUUAUUCAAGUAUCCUUUUAUGAUAUCCAGAAAUUCUAUAUCAUUUCCAAUCAACAAUAUGUCAUCCACAUAUAAUAUUAGAAAUGCUACAGAGCUCCACUCACUUUCUUGUAAAUACAGGCUUCUCCAAAAGUCUGUAUAAAACCAUAUGCUUUGAUCACACUAUCAAAAUGUUUAUUCCAACUCCGAGAUGCUUGCACCAGUCCAUAGAUGGAUCGCUGGAGCUUGCACACUUUGUUAGCAUCCUUUGGAUCGAUAAAACCUUCAGGUUGCAUCAUAUACAACUCUUCUUCCAGAAAUCCAUUCAGGAAUGCAGUCUUUACAUCCAUUUGCCAAAUUUCAUAAUCAUAAAAUGCGGCAAUAGCUAACAUGAUUCAGACAGACUUAAGCAUCGCUACAGGUGAGAAAGUCUCAUCAUAGUCAACUCCUUGAUCUUGUCGAAAACCUUUCGCAACAAGUCGAGCUUUGUAAACAGUAACAUUACUGUCAGCGUCAGUCUUCUUCUUGAAGAUCCAUUUAUUCUCGAUGGCUUGCCGAUCAUCGGGCAAGUCAACCAAAGUCCACACUUUGUUCUCAUACAUGGAUCCCAUCUCAGAUUUCAUGGCCUCAAGCCAUUUUGCGGAAUCUGGGCUCAUCAUCGCUUCCUCAUAGUUUGUAGGUUUGUCAUGGUCAAGUUACAUGACCUCCAAAAUAGGGUUAUCGUACCACUCUGGUGCGGAUCUUACUCUGGUUGACCUACGAGGUUCGGUAGUAACUUGAUCUGAAGUUACAUGAUCACCAUCAUUAGCUUCCUCACUAAUUGGUGUAGGAGUCACGGGAACAGAUUUAUGUGAUGAACUACUUUCCAAUAAGGGAGCAGGUAUAGUUACCUCAUCAAGUUCUACUUUCCUCCCACUCACUUCUUUCGAGAGAAACUCCUUCUCUAGAAAGGAUCCAUUCAUAGCAACGAAUGUCUUGCCUUCGGAUCUGUGAUAGAAGGUCUACCCAAUAGUCUCCUUUGGGUAUCCUAUGAAGACACAUUUCUCUGAUUUGGGUUCGAGCUUAUCAGGUUGAAGCUUUUUCACAUAAGCAUCGUAGCCCCAAACUUUAAGAAACGACAACUUUGGUUUCUUGCCAAACCACAGUUCAUAAGGCGUCGUCUCAAUGGAUUUAGAUGGUGCCCUAUUUAACGUGAAUGCAACUGUCUCUAAAGCAUAACCCCAAAACAAUAGCGGUAAAUCAGUAAGAGACAUCAUAAAUCGCACCAUAUCUAGUAAAGUACGCUUACGACGUUCGGACAUUACGCUGUGGUGUUCCGGGUGGCGUGAGUUACGAAACUAUUCCGCAUUGUUUCAAAUGAAGACCAAACUCGUAACUCAAAUAUUCUCCUCCAUGAUUAGAUCGUAGAAACUUUAUUUUCUUGUUACGAUGAUUUUCCACUUCACUUUGAAAUUCUUUGAACUUUUCAAAUGUUUUAGACUUAUGUUUCAUCAAGUAGUUAUACCCAUAUCUGGUCAAACCAUCUGUGAAGGUGAGAAAAUAAUGAUACCCGCCGCGAGCCUCAACAUUCGUCGGACCAGAUACAUCAGUAUGUAUGAUUUCCAACAAAUCUGUUGCUCGCUCCAUUGUUCCGGAGAACGGCGUUUUAGUCAUCUUGCCCAUGAGGCAUGGUUUGCAAGUGCCAAGUGAUUCAUAAUCAAGUGAUUCCAAAAGUUCAUCAGAAUGGAGUUUCUUCAUGCGCUUUACACCAAUAUGACCUAAACGGCAGUGCCACAAAUAAGUUGCACUAUCAUUAUCAACUCUGCAUCUUUUGGCUUCAAUAUUAUGAAUAUGUGUAUCACUACUAUUGAGAUUCAUCAAAACCAGACCACUCUUCAAGCAUGCAUGACCAUAAAAGAUAUUACUCAUAUAAAUAGAACAAUCAUUAUUCUUAGAUUUAAAUGAAUAACCGUCUCCCAUCAAACAACAUCCAGAUAUAAUGUUCAUGCUCAACGCUGGCACCAAAUAACAAUUAUUUAGGUCAAAAACUAACACCGAAGGUAGAUGUAGAGGUAGCAUGCUGACCGCAAACACAUCGACUUUGGAACCAUUUCCCACCCGCAUCGUCACCUCACCCUUAGCCAAUCUUCGCUUAAUCUGUAGUCCCUGUUUCAAGUUGCAAAUAUUAGCAACAGAACCAGUAUCAAAUACCCAGGUGCUACUAUGAGCAUUAGUAAGGUACACAUCAAUAACAUGUAUAUCACAUAUAGCUUUGUUCACCUUGCCAUCUUUCUUAUCCGCCAAAUACUUGGGGCAGUUCCGCUUCCAGUGACCAGUCCCUUUGCAGUAGAAGCACUCAGUCCCAGGCUUCGGUCCAGACUUGGGAUUCUUCACUUGAGCAACAACUUGCUUGCCGUUCUUCUUGAAGUUCCCCUUCUUCCCUUUACCCUUUUUCUUGAAACUGGUGGUCUUGUUGACCAUCAACACUUGAUGCUCCUUCUUGAUUUCUACCUCCAUAGCCUUUAGCAUCACGAAGAGCUCGAGAAUUGUCUUAUCCAUCCCUUGCAUAUUAUAGCUCAUCACGAAGCUCUUGUAGCUUGGUAGUAGUGAUUGAAGAAUUCUGUCAAUGACACUAUCAUCCAGAAGAUUAACUCCCACUUGAAUCAAGUGAUUGUUAUACCCAGACAUUUUGAGUAUAUGCUCACUAACAGAACUAUUCUCCUCCAUCUUGCAGCUGUAGAACUUACUGGACACUUCAUAUCUCUCAAUCAGGGCAUUUUCUUGAAAUAUUAACUUCAACUCCUGGAACAUCUCAUAUGCUCCAUGACGUUCAAAACGUCAUUGAAGUCCCGGUUGUAAGCCGUAAAGAAUGGCACACUGAACUAUCGAGUAGUCAUUAGCUUUGCUCUGCCAGACGUUCAUAACAUCUGGCGUUGCUCCUACAGCGGGGUUGGCACCUAGCAGUGCUUCCAGGACGUAAUUCUUCUAUGCAGCAAUGAGGAUAAUCCUCAUGUUACGGACCCAGUCCGUGUAAUUGCUACCAUCAUCUUUCAACUUUGCUUUCUCAAGGAACACAUUAAAAUUCAACAGAACAACAACACGGGCCAUCUAUCUACAACAACAUAGACAUGCAAAAUACUAUUAGGUACUAAGUUCAUGAUAAAUUAAAGUUCAAUUAAUCAUAUUACUUAAGAACUCCUACUUAGACAGACAUCCCUCUAAUCAUCUAAGUGAUCACGUGAUCCAUAUCAACUAAACCAUGUCCGAUCAUCACGUGAGAUGGAGUAGUUUUCAAUGGUGAACAUCACUAUGUUGAUCAUAUCUACUAUAUGAUUCACGCUCAACCUUUCGGUCUCAGUGUUCCGAGGCCAUAUCUGCAUAUGCUAGGCUCGUCAAGUUUAACCCGAAUAUUCUGCCUGUGCAAAACUGGCUUGCACCCGUUGUAUGUGAACAUAGAGCUUAUCACACCCGAUCAUCACGUGGUGUCUCGGCAUGACGAACUUUCACAAUGGUGCAUACUCAGGGAGAACACUUAUACCUUGAAAUUUAGUGAGAGAUCAUCUUAUAAUGCUACCGUCGAUCUAAGCAAAAUAAGAUGCAUAAAAGAUAAACAUCACAUGUAAUCAAUAUAAGUGAUAUGAUAUGGCCAUCAUCAUCUUGUGCCUUUGAUCUCCAUCUCCAAAGCACUGUCAUGAUCACCAUCGUCACCGGCGCGACACCUUGAUCUCCAUCGUAGCAUCGUUGUUGUCUCGCCAACUAUUGCUUCUACGACUAUCGCUACCACUUAGUGAUAAAGUAAAGCAAUUACAUGGCGACUGCAUUUCAUACAAUAAAGUGACAACCAUAUGGCUCCUGCCUGUUGCCGAUAACUCUGUUACAAAACAUGAUCAUCUCAUAUAAUAAAAUUUAGCAUCAUGUCUUGACCAUAUCACAUCACAGCAUGCCCUGCAAAAACAAGUUAGACGUCCUCUACUUUGUUGUUGCAAGUUUUACGUGGCUGCUACGGUUGAGCAAGAACCGUUCUUACCUACGCAUCAAAACCACAAGGAUAUUUCAUCAAGUAUGUGCUGUUUUAACCUUCUCAACGAUCGGGCGUAGCCACACUCGAUUCAACUAAAGUUGGAGAAACUGACACCCGCCAGCCACCUGUGUGCGAAGCACGUCGGUAGAACCAGUCUCGCGUAAGCGUAUGCGUAAUGUUGGUCCAGGACGCUUCAUCCAACAAUACCGCCGAAUCAAAGUAUGACAUGCUGGUAAGCAGUAUGGCUUGUAUCGCCCACAACUCACUUGUGUUCUACUCGUGCAUAUAAUAUCUACGCAUAAACCUGGCUCGGAUGCCACUGUUGGGAAUGUAGUAAUUUCAAGAAAUUUACUAUGCACACACAAGAUCAUGGUGAUGCAUAGCGAUGAUAGGGGAGAGUGUCAUCCACGUACCCUCGUAGACCAUAAGCGGAAGUGUUAUGACAACGCGGUUGAUGUAGUCGUACGUCUUCACGAUCGACCGAUCCUAGUACCGGAUGUACGACACCUCCGCAAUCUGCACACGUUCAGCUCGGUGAUGUCCCAUGAACUCACGAUCUAGUAGAGCUUCGAGUGAGAGUUUCGUCAACUCGAUGGCGUGAUGACGGUGUUGAUGAAGCUACCGACGCAGGGCUUCGCCUAAGCACUGCUACAAUAUGACCGAGGUGGAUUAUGGUGGAGGGGGCACCGCACAUGGCUAAAAGAUAAACUGAUCAACUUGUGUGUCCAUGGGGUGCCCCUCCCCCGUAUAUAAAGGAGUGGAGGAGAGGGGAGGGCUGUCCCUCCUAUGGCGCGCCCUGGGGGAGUCCUACUCCCACCGGGAGUAGGAUUCCCCCGUUCCCUAGUUGGACUAGGAGAGAAGGAAGGGGGAGAGAGGGAGGAAGGAAAGGGGGACGCCACCCCCCUCCUAGUCCAAUUCGGACCAGAGGGAGAGGGGGCGCGCGGCCUGCCCUAGUUUCCUCUCUCUCUCUCCACUAUGGCCCAAUAAGGCCCAUAUACUUACCGGGGGGUUCCGGUAACCUCCCGAUACUCCGGUAAAAUCCCGAUUUCACCUGGAACCAUUCUGAUGUCCAAAUAUAGGCUUCCAAUAUAUUGAUCUUUAUGUCUCGGCCAUUUUGAGACUCCUCGUCAUGUCCGUGAUCUUAUCCGGGACUCCGAACUAUCUUCGGUACAUCAAAACACAUAAACUCAUAAUAUCAAUCGUCACCGAACGUUAAGCAUGCGGACCCUACGGGUUCGAGAAUCAUGUAGACAUGACCGAGACACGUCUCUGGCCAAUAACGAAUAGCGGAACCUGGAUCCUCAUAUUGGCUCCUACAUAUUCGACGAAGAUCUUUAUCGGUCAAAUCGCAUAACAACAUACAUUGUUUCCUUUGUCAUCGGUAUGUUACUUGCCCGAGAUUCGAUCGCCGGUAUCUCAAUACCUAGUUCAAUCUCGUUACCGGAAAGUCUCUUUACUCAUUCCGUAAUACAUCAUCCCGCAACUAACUCAUUAGUUAGAUUGCUUGCAAGGCUUAUAGUGAUGUGCAUUACCGAGAUGGCCCAGAGAUACCUCUCUGACAAUCAGAGUGACAAAUCCUAAUGCCGAUCUAUGCCAACUCAACAAGUACCAUCGGAGACACCUGUAGAGCACCUUUAUAAUCACCCAGUUACGUUGUGACGUUUGGUAGUACACAAAGUGUUCCUCCGGUAUCCAGGAGUUGCAUAAUCUCAUAGUCAUAGGAACAUGUAUACGUCAUGAAGAAAGCAAUAGCAAUAUACUAAACAAUCAAAUGCUAAGCUAAUGGAAUGGGUCAAGUCAAUCACAUCAUUCUCUAAUGAUGUGAUCCCGUUAAUCAAAUGACAACUCAUGUCUAUGGCUAGGAAACUUAACCAUCUUUGAUUCAACGAGCUAGUCAAGUUGAGGCAUACUAGUGACACUUAGUUUGUCUAUGUAUUCACACAUGUACUAAGUUUCCGGUUAAUACAAUUCUAGCAUGAAUAAUAAACAUUUAUCAUGAUAUAAGGAAAUAUAAAUAACAACUUUAUUAUUGCCUCUAGCGCAUAUUUCCUUCAACCAACGCAUGCUCAAGAGGUAGCACGAGGAAAUGCGCGCGGCAGACGCCGGGCGGCGUGCUCCCGGAGGCCCACAACCUGUUCGAGGGAAUGCCGGUCGCCGUCGACAAGGACUACAUGCAGAACCUCAUCUUCGAGGGCGGUGCGCCGACUGCUGGCUACGAUCCCGACGAGACACAAAGCCAGGACGGCCAUGGGGCGUUCACGCCGGCCGCUGGCUAUGAUCCUGAUCAGGGGGCCUUCAUGCAUGAUCAGGUCGGCAUCGACCUGGACGGCUUCCCACUCGACCACGAGUUCCCAGACGACCACGGGCUAGAGAAAGAGGACGAGUGCGACAUCAAAGUGGAGCCCUUGUUCGAGGACGAGCUCACCAACCAAGCUGCCGGUCCUAAGCCGAAGCACAAGAGCAAGCGCACAAAGGCAUACACGGCGGCCGAGGACAAGCUUCUUUGCAAGUGUUGGCGAUACAUUAGACAAGACCCCAAGAUGUGCGCCGAAAAAAGCAUUCAACCUUUUGGAUUGGUGUCCAUCAAGAGUUUCAUGAGCGCAAGAAGUUUCCGCCUUACCAACUUGUGAGCACGUGCGGGUGGUUGUCCAUUUCCAAGCGAUGGAGGGUGAUCCAACAAGAGUGCAACAAGUUUUGCGCCACUCCUGAGAGCGUUAAGGCCCGCCCCAUGAGCAGCAUCGGCAUGAAAGACAUGGUAUGCUAGCAAGCCACCCUCUUUUGUGUCAUGAAGUUCAUGAUUGCGUGUUCAUUUGCAUAUCAUUUGCCCAUAUGCUUGCAUGGAAACAUUUUGUAGGCAUUUCAAGCUUUGGAGGCAUUCAAGGUUCAACACAAUGGCAAGUGCUUCAACCUCUCCCAUUGCUUUCGGGUCAUAAAGGACGAGGAGAAGUUCAAGGCGCAAUAUGCCUCCCUCAAGUCGCAUGGGGGGAAGCAAGCCAUGGAGGAGGUUGGGAGGGAGAGCUGACACGGGCGCGGGGGAAGACCAACUCCCAGAAGGAGGACAAGCGAGAUGCGACAUCCAAUGCCUUGAUCGCAAGCGUGGAGGGCAUGAUGAACAAGAAAGACUCAAGGGAGGAGGAGCGCCAAUAUUUCAAGGCGGAGCAAAUGGACGCUUUCAUGGAGAUCCAAAGGAGAAGGCUUGAUAUGGACGCUGAGAAGCAAUCCAAGAUGUUCGAGCUCGAGGCGGAGAAGCAAGCCAAGAUUCUAGAGAUCGAGGCCGCCAACGCCAAGCCAAUGCCAAAGAAGUGGCUCUCACGAGCAUGAUGACCGGGGUGGAUAUCAUGAAGGUGGAUCUCAACACCGUGUCGCCAAGGAAGAGGCCGUGGUUUGAGAAGAUGUAGGCCGACAUGCUCAAGUUCGACAACGAGUGAUCUAUGGCGGCGAGCGCCAUCUUUUUUAUAUGCCGGCAGGUGUGCUGGCAUGACCACGGGGGCCGCGAUGGCGUGGUCGGACUCAAGUCCCACCCUUUUUUGUGUGCUGGCAUGUGUGCCGGCCGGCUGGCGAGUGCGCCAGCAUGAACUGUGGUGAUAUUUUCUGAAGCCGGCAUUGUAUGCCGGCGUUGGCAUGGUGCCGGCAUGAUCGGCUGCGGGCCUUUUUUUUCAGUUGAUGCGGACAUGAAAUGGGUCGGCGCGUUGGGCGCACUGCUGACCCAAAUGCAAAGCUGGGUGGAUGCCGGGCGGGCGGCCGACCCAAACGGACAAAAAGCGAACAAAUGCGUCAUCCAUUUGGGUUGGUCCAUCGGAGUUGCUCUAAUAUUUAGAGUAGCUCGACGUGGUGGGGCGCGGCUGGCUAUUUAAGGCGGUUGACACGUCCCUAGCAUGGCGAGGUGGUACUAAACCUCGGGGGUACGCGGGGCGCGCUAAGAGCAUACACAAUGUAUGCCAUAGCCAAAUCUGGCACACAACCACAUAUGACAUUGAUUCUAAAUUUACUUUUAAAAUGGGAUCCACUGCGGAGUAAAAAAAUGUGUUUUCUCUUUUUAAAAUGUUCUCUCUUCAGCAUGCACAUGAAUCAUGAGCCUUCUCAGCCAUGAAGUGGGGGUAGCAUGCAAAGCAAAUACUCCCUCCGUUCCAAAAUAGAUGACUCAACUUAGUACAAAGUUGAGUCAUCUAUUUUGGAACGGAGGAAGUAUUUGUUUAUUGUCACUUUGGAUUUGGCAUUGGCGCUCCUAGCGUCUCCGGCUCCCUCUUUUGUCUGAUUUGGCAUUCUUUUCUUUGGUUUGGCAAUACCUCCACAAUGUUGAGAACCUUUGCCAAAAGCUAUUUUAGCAUUUGACACUACCAUUUGGUCAUACAUUAUGGGUGCCCUAAGGUGAUGCGCGUUGGGCCGGCCGAGUAAGCACCCAAGGCAUCAACAUUGGGAUCCGCCAGCCCCACCUUGUCUAUGACAAAAUUUCUAAUCCUUCACAAAAAAGUGUCCUGAUGGCCGGGCCCCAUAGGGUGGCCAUGUCAGAACACGAGGGGUAAUAUUUAGAGUAGAUCAACGUGGUGGGGCGCGACCGGCUAUUUAAGGUGGUCAAUGCACCCCUCGCACGGCGAGGUGGUAUUAAUCCUCGGGGGUAUGCAGGGUGCACUAAGGCAACAUACCCUGGGCCGGCCCAGUAAGUGUCCAGGUGUUAGCUUUGGGGAAACGCUCGCUGGGCUGGCGCCGGGGCGACACGUGGUUGGGCCUGACGCCGUUGGUGUUUUUCCUUUAAGAAAAGUCAUUUACUAUUUUAAACAUUUUCCUUUUGUCUUUAUAUUUGUGUUAUAGUUAACUUAAAAGAAUUUAAGUCCUGUUUUAAAUUGUCAUCUUAAAUAUAUUUUUCAUUAAAUAUUUCUUUAAAUUUUGACUUUAUCACUUCUAUUAAUAACUUAAAAUAACAGUUUCAAGUUACUUGUUUUUGGACAUUAGUGGAAUGGCCCCAUUUUUUUUCUUGACCUAAGAUGACCAAUUCAUGGCAUUAUGCCAAAAUGGUUUUGGUUUUCGUCAACUUUUGCAUUUUCUGGAUUUAUCUCGAUGAAGAAAGGUCGAUAAAUGGACGCUUGUGUCACAACGUGCAAACAAUGUCAAAGGUCAUUCAGAGUAGACAUGGGGGCCUACCAUGGGCAUUACCCCCUUUGACAAAAGUUAGGGUCAUUUCUCAUAAGUAAAACAAAUUAUGUUCAGAAGACAAUGUCCAGGUAGGCAAGAAUGGUGUUUGGGAGCACGUCCUUUUUGACAUCCAUGAAAUGGACCUACUUUUUUCCCAAUGUGCUUUUAUGACCAAAACAAGAGUCCAUGCCAGGUGGUUUUGGUUUUCAAGUUUUGCAUUUUUUAGAAUUAUCUCCACGGAAAAAGGACAUUAAAGGACACAUGUGUUGCAACGUGUAAAUGGUCUCAAAAGUUGUUCAAACCAGGCAUGGGGUGCAUACUAUGGGCUUGCCCCCUUGGGGGAAAAUUUUGGGGUCUUUCCUCAUAGGUAAAAAACAUGUUCAAAAGACGGUGUUUGGGUAGGGCAGAAGGGUUCAUUUGUGAGCACGUUGUUUCCCAACAUCCUAAAAUGGCCCCAAAAUUUUCCAUGGACUACCAUGACCAACUCAUGGAACCAUUCCAAGCGUUUUUUUUCACGUUUGCAUUUUCUAGAAAUUUUUCAGAGAAAAUAGUCUGAUAUAAUGCCCACAUGUAUCGCAAUGUGCAAACGGUCUCAGAACUCGUUCAAACCAGACAUGGAUGCCCAUCAUGGCCAUGCCUUUGAUGGCAAAAGUAGGGGUCAUUCCAGAGAUGUCCAAAAAAGAUCAUGUUCAACAGAAGGUGUCCGGAUAGACUUGAAGGAUCCGUUUGUGAGCACGUCGUUUUUCAACCUCUGCAAAAUGGCCCCAACUUUUUUGAUGGACUACCAUGACCAAUUCAUGGCACCAUGCCAAGUGUUUUUUGUACAUUUGCAUUUUCUAGAAUUAUUUUGGUGAAAAUACUUGGAUAAAAUGCACACACGGGUCACAUCGUGCAAACUAUGUCGGCAUUCGUUCAAACCAGGCAUUGAUGCCUACCAUGGGCAUAUGCCCCCUUGGUGGCAAAAGUUGGGGUCAUUACUCACAUGUCCAAAAAACACCAUGUUCAACACACGAUGUCCGGUCGUCCAGAAGGGUCCAUUUGUGAGCACGUCGUUUUCUGACAUCCGCGAAAUGGUCCCAAUUUUUCCCAUGGACUACCAUGACCAAUUCAUGGCACCAUGCCAAGUGGUUUUGGUUUUCAAGAAGUUUUGCAUUUUGUCAUUUUUUUGGUAAAAUAGUCCAAUAAAAUGCCAACACGUGUCGCUACAUGGAGAUGGUGUUAGAACUCGUUAAAACUAGGCAUAGAUGCCUACCAUGAGCAUUCCUCCCUUGGUGGUCAAAGUUGAGGCCAUUCAUCAGAUUAAAAAAACAUGUUCAACAGACGGUGUCCAGGUACGCCAAAAUGAUCCGUUUGUGAGCAUGUCAUUUUUUUGACAUUUGUGAAAUGACCCUAAUUUUUCUCCAUGGACUACCAUGAACAAUUCAUGGCACCAUGUCAAGUGUUUUUUUCUUUCAACUUUGCAGUUUCUAGCAUCCUUUACAUGAGUAAUUAGGGGCGGUGUAUUACGAUUUUUUCUAUUGUUAUUGUUUUCUUUGUAUUUGUUUGUUAGUCCCUCGGCUUCUCUGUUGUCUAGGCCUUUUUAUUGUGUAUGUGGCUAGCCAUAAUUUGCCAAUAUAAGGAACAUUGAUGCAACCAUAGGUUGAGCUCCACCUAAUAACAAUGGCAACAACAUUAACUGAACACAUGAAAAACAUGUGCGAUAAUGCUUGAAGGCAAGCGGUGCGGCAAAGCACACAUAUGCUUCUAGUUAUUUUUGCGGUUGGCAUACGCUUCUAAUUGAGAUGAUAUGGCAUAGCUAUCCAUGUUAUUUUGAAGUUUGCAUAGAUAUCCAUGCUAAUUAGGUAAUUUUAAACCCAUGAAAUCCGUGACAUCCACUUAUCAUUUGCCUUAGUUGAGAAGAAUGUUGAGAUAGGUCAGAGUUUCUCUAAGUGGUGCUUCCUCUGUUCCAUAGUAUAGGGACUGUUUGGUCCUUGUUCCAUAAUGUAUGGACUGUUUGGUUUUAGGCCUUACAAUGCCACAUUUUGUCAGACAUUCUUUGCCAAACUUGUGUAAGAUUAGUUCAACAGAAUAGAAGCCACAAGUUGACAAAUCUAAAGGAAUCUUCUCACACUUUUGAGUGUAUGUGUUGUAGGAUCCUAGUGUGGCAAAAAGCAUCUUGCCUAUGAUGAGGCUUGAACCACAUGACUAGCUAAGUUGGUCAAAGUUACCUUACCUUAGAUGUGGCAACCAUAGUCACAAACCAAACAGUCCUGAGUGCGUACAUACUUUUUGAAAACUCAAAGUUUACAAAAUAUGAUCAAUUUAUAGAGAAAACUAUUUAUAUCUACAAUAUAACGUAUAUAAAACAUGAAACUACGCCUAUGAUAAUUUUAAUAAUAUAUAUUUGACACUCUAGAUGUAAAUGUUUUCUUCACAAAUCAAUGUUCGUGAGGUUUAACUUUUUUUACAUAUCUAUAUGCAGUAUGCUUUUAGAGAGAUAUAUGCAUACAAACAAUAUUAAGAUAAAUAUACCAAAUCAAUAUAAAUCUGUUCAUCAUUAGAUAUAUUUUCGUAAUGUAUUUAUUCAAUAUUAUAGUUGUUGAUAUUUUAUUCUAUAUAUUUGGCUAUGGAGGGAGUAUAGUUUUACCUGUCAUUGUUGUGCGCUAUGUAAUCAACAACGAACUACUACGCAAAACAUAUUUUCUAUCAACAACCAUCCAACUAUACAUUUCAAUUUCGAUACACGCUUAACAUUAUUAAUCUUACGUUUGGGAUCCUUGCAAUUACUUUAUUUUCCACUUGCCUCUCAUUUUCAUCUCCCCCACUUCUAAAAGUUUUUACAAAAAUACAAAAAUAUUUUCCGUUUGCCUUUAUGCUUGUUUGUUAUCUUUGCUUGUGUUACCAUGUGCCUUCUAUUUGCUUGCAUCUUCGCUUGCUAAAAAUCUAUUUUUAUGGAUCCUCACCCACUUGCUAAUCUUUUGAAAAGAUCCAAUUAUGAUGAACCAAUUGCUAGUGAAUUGAGUUCACUAUAUUAUCUUUAUGAAGUUUUGCUUGAGAUUCAUGAAUCUGAAAAUUUUGAGGAAGUGUUGAAGAAGAAAUUUAUAAAGUGGUUCAUGAUAUCUCCUUGAAUGAAAAGGAUGAUUGCAAUGGUGUUAUUAUAAACGCUUUUAAUGUCAAUUGUGCUAAUAAUAUGCAAAACCCUAAGCUUGAGGAUGCUAAUUUUGCUAUCCACUACUUAUUGCAAUAAUCAUGAUUGGGAUUCCUCUUAUGAUAAGCCUCAUGAUGAAUAUGUCACUGAUAAUAAUGUUUGCAAUAAUAUUGAAAUUGGGAUUGGAAGAGCGUCAACUUUAGGUAAAAAUAAUCUCAUAAAUUUGGAGAGUGUUAAAUCUUAUGAUUUUUUUGAUAAAAGUGGGUUCGGAGAGGUCAUGACUUUAUUUGAUGAUAAUCCCACUAUAUUGGGAGUGUCAACUUUGCAUGCAUGUGGAUCAUGAAGAGAAAAUUUUAUAUGAUAGCUAUAUUGUUGAAUUUGAUUUGAUCUUACAUGUAGUUAUUAUGAGAGAGGAAAAUAUGGUUGUAGAAAUUUUCAUGGUACUAGAUUACCUCUCAUUAUGUUAAAAUUGUCAAUGUUUUACUUCUCUCCUAUGCAUAUGCUAGAUAUUUCUUGUCUUGAUAAUUUGUUUGACAGAAAAAUUCCUAUGCAUAGGAAGUAUGUUAGAAUUAUAAGUGAUUUUCACAUGCUUUAUGACGCUCACUUUGUGUUUCAAUUCUUCUCUUUCAUGUGAGCAUCAUUAAAAAUUAUCGAUGCCUAGCUAGAGGCUCUAAAGAAAAGCGCUUGUUGGGAGACAACCGGAUAUUUUUCUUUUCUAUUUUUAAUAGAUAUAGAAUUAUGCAACUGUUAUGAUUUUGUUUUAGUAUUUUAAUUAGUCUUGUGCCAAGUAAAGCCUUUAGGAUGGUUUGGUGAUAGUUGACUUGAUUAUGUUGAAAAACAGAAACUUUUGCGCCCAGUUCUAGAAUUUUGGAAAUUCACAGAAACACGAUUUUGCUCUGAAUUUUUUACACAUGAUUGAUAUAAAAUUGCCCGCAUUGUCCUAAUUUUUUAGAAUUUUUGGAGUUACAGAAGUAUGGUUAAAGUUCAGAUUACUACAGACUAUUCUGUUUUUGACAAAUUCUGUUUUCAUUGCAUUGUGUGCUUGUUUUGAUGAAUCUAUGGAUUGUAUCGGGGGGGGGGGAUAUAAUAAGCCAUGGUAAAGUUAGAAUACAGUAAGUAUAAUGCAAUAAUAAAAUAUGAUUGGGUUUGUAACCGUAGCUGAAGUGGUGAUUUGCUUUCUUAUACUAAGGGAUCUCACGAAAGUUUUGUUAAGUUUUGUGUCGUUGAAGUUUUCAAGUUUUGGGUGAGAUCACGAUGGAUGAAGGAAUAAGGAGUGAAAAGAGCCUAAGCUUGGGGAUGCCCCGGAAGGCAUCCCCUCUUUCUUCUAAUGACCAUUGGUAAUUUUACUUGGAGCUAUAUUUGUAUUCGUCACAUAUCAUGAGUUUUGCUUGGAGCGCCUUGUAUUAUAUGAGUCUUUGCUUGUUUGUUUUUAGUUUGUCAUAAUCAUCCUUGCUGGACACACCUAUUUGAGAGAGCCAUAAUGAUGCUAUGAUUUGUUAGAAUUGCUCUAUGUGCACAUGAAUUUUUGAGCUAUGGAAUUGCUCUAGUACUUCACUUAUAUCUUUUUGAGCACGGUGGUGGUUUAAUUUUUGAAGAAAUGCUCUCAUAGUUUACUUAGAUUAUUUUGGGAGUUAGAUAUUUUUUGAAGAAAUGCUCUCAUGCUUCACUUAUAUUAAUCUGAGAGUUAGUAAAAUUUUGAAGAAAUAUCCGAUCACGCUUCACUUAUAUUAUUUUGAGAGAUGAAAUUUUUGAAGAAAUAUUUACGCUCUCGUGAUUCACUUAAAUUUGUUUGAGAACUUGUUAUUAGCAAUGGUAAUUUUCUUAAGAUAUGAAAUUGGUCCCAAAGUGAUAGAUAUUCAAGAGGGAUAUAAUAAAAACUUUCAUGAAAAUCAUUGGAUAUUAAAACUUGAUUCCUUGCAAUUGUUUUGUGAUAUGGAGAUACUAAUAUGUGAGUCAUGUUGGUAAAUAAUUAUGCUUUAGUAAAAAUAUUGGUGUUAAGGUUUGUGAUUCCCUAUGCAAGCAGGAAAGUCAAUAGUUAUGCAACAAAGUUACAUCCUACUUGUGGUGCAUUAUUCAAUGUUAAUUAUGUGUAAUGCUCGUUUAUGAUCGUCUUCGUUUCUUGGUUGGUCACUUUCCAAUCUAUUUGAUAGCCCUCAUGUUAGUUAUGUGUAAUACUGCUUGUGCAUCCAACUCCUUAAACCCAAAUCUGUGCCAAAUGAGUGCGCCAUACCUACCUAUAUGCGGUAUUUCCAUGCCGUUCCAAGUAAAUUUGUAUGUGCCAACUCUAAUUUUCAAAAUGAUUUUUCUUUUUGUGUGCCCGUACCACUCAUGAAGCGGCAGGGGGUGGCCAAUAUUUUCCAUGCUAGGUAUGCUAUUCUCAAGAUGAGUUUUUAUUAACUUGUCAUCACAUGAGAGUGUGGCAGGUAAUAGAGAUGCCCAGCCCCGAAAUAAAAAAAUAUUUAUAUGUUGUCAAUAAUAGAUUCCUUGGAAAGUGUUGGUAUGGAAGGCACUCAUGGAUACGACUAGCCAUGGAUUGUGAAAGAAUGGUGGAAAGGAAAUAAACUUUAUUUUGUGUUUGGGAACCGCCUAUGAUCUAUCUAGCAUGGAAGACAUUGGGAAUUCUUGGUCGUUUUUGUUGACAGGAAAAGCAUGCCUCUCAAAAUAGUUUUAUCUCUCAAUUUAAGCUAUGAGCUCUUGCACCUAUACAUCUCUGCUUCCCUCUGCGAAGGGCCUAUCUAUUUAAUUUUAUGCAAUUUUUAUUUUUAUUGAGUCUCCAUCUUCUCUUAUAAAGCACCAACUAGGGAACACUAUUAUCAUACUUGUGCAUUGGAUGUAGCUAAUAUUUGACUGUGCUUCAUGAAUGGAUCAAUGAUUGAACAUAAUGGGCUAGGGAUAGCUUUGUUUAGCGUUGACAUUUUGAAAGAAAUGGUUUCUUGUUAAUAUGCUUGAGUAUUGAUGUCUUCAUGUCAAAUUAUAGACUAUUGCUUUGAAUCACUUAAAGUCCAAAUGUCCAUGCUACAAAGAAAAGAGUAUGUGAUGAAUAUGAUAGGAAGCAUUCCACAUCAAAAAUUCUAUUUUUACAUUUACCUACUCGAGGACGAGCAGGAAUUAAGCUUGGGGAUGCUUGAUACGUCUCCAACGUAUCUAUAAUUUUUGAUUGUUCCAUGCUAUUAAAGUAGCAAUCUUGGAUGUUUUAUAUACAUUUACUAGCAACUUUAUAUCAUUUUUGGGGACUAACCUAUUGACAUAGUGCCCAGUGCCAGUUGCUAUUAUUUGCUAGUUUUUUACUUUGUAGAAUAUCAAUACCAGACGAAGUCCAAAUGCCAGGAAACUUUUUGGAGAUUAUUUUCUAGCAGUAAGAGACCCUGGAAGCUUUGUGAGGGAACCAGAAGAGGCUCAUGGGGCCCACUAGGCACCAGGGCGCGCUACUCCAUCGUGCCCUGGUGGGUAGUGGGGCCCACGAGCUCUGCCUUGACCUACCUCCACCUCUAUAAAUACUCUAAAAUCCCCAAAACCCUAGGGGAGUCGAUGAAAUACUUUUCCAGCCGCCGCAAGUUCCAAAACCACAAGAUCCAAUAUAGAGACAUUCCAGCACUCUGCCAAAGGAGGCAACGAUCACAGAGGGGUUCUUCAUCAUCAUUGUUGCCCCUCCGAUGAUGCGUGAGUAGUUUACCUCGGACAUAUGGGUCCGCAAUUAGUAGCUAGAUGGCUUCUUCUCUCUUUUUGAUCCUCAAUACAAUGUUCUCCUCGAUAUUCUUGGAGAUUUAUUUGAUGUAACUCUUUUUUCCGGUGUGUUUGUUGGGAUCCGAUGAAUUGUGAGUUUAUGAUCAGAUUUAUCCGUGAAUAUUAUUUGAGUCUUCUCUGAACUCUUUUAUGCAUGAUUGUUAUAGCUUCACAUUUCUUCUCCAAUUUAUUGGUUUGGUUUAGCCAACUAGAUUGAUUUAUCUUGCCAUGGGAAGAGGUGCUUUGUUUUGGGUUCGAUCUUGCGGUGCUCAAUCUCAGUGAUAGAAAUAGACAUAACAAUCUCAAUUUGUGAUGGGUUACGAGUAUUUAAACUAUCUCAAUUUGUGAUGGGUUCGAUCUUGUGAUAGGUUGCGAGUAUUUAAACUAUCUCAAUUUGUGAUGGGUUCGAUCUUGUGAUGGAUUGCGAGUAUUUAAACUAUCUCAAUUUGUUGUUUGUGUGCCGGUGAUGUUUACAAAGUGUUGCUUGGUUCUCCUACUAGAUUGAUAACCUUGGUUUCAUAACUGAUGGAAAUACUUACCUCUGUUGUGCUGCAUCAUCCCCUCAUCUUCGGGGAAAUACCAACGCGGAUCACAAGUAGCAGCGCCCAGGGGGGUAGGCGUGCCCUGGUGCCCCGUGCCCCCCCCUUUGCUCUGUUUGACCUAAUUUCGCCUCUAUAGAUUCUCUAAAAUUGGGAAACCAACAGAGAGACACCCAAAAAAAAA
rnacentral:lncRNA from 1 species